rnacentral:rRNA from 1 species
UCGUAUGACCAGAUCACAACCUGAAUUACACUCAAUCUCAUCAGGUCUCAGAAGCUAAGCAGGCUUUAUCCUGGUUAUUACUUGGAUGGGAAAUUGCCUGGGAUUACCAGGCUUGUAGGCU